GGGGAAUGCGUUUUCCUAAGUCUCAUGGAAGGGCUUGCAUAGCUUAGAGCUCAGCCUCGGAGCGGACUAGCACACAGCUGUUUUGGAGACUGGAGGAUAGCCUGCUGGGAUAGAGAUAUCCCUGGAAGAUACAGAGCUGGUAAGGCUAUCAAGGCAGAAUCAAUUUGUGAACCACAUUUGAUCCCCUCAGUUCAAUUACUGCAGAAGCUGCUUCCUGGCUCAGGUGAGGAAAAAAUAAGAAUAUAUUUUUGCAUUUUCUCUUCUGCAAGGGAGGACAUGAGAGUAUAACAACCACUCAGAAAACAGCAUGACAUUUGUCUGACUGUUUUGCUUUGGGGAUGGAUGGCUCUUGGGGAAAGAAGCAUUUUCAGAGCAAGAGGCACUGUUUUUCAUAAAUAGGUAAAGAUCUACAUCUCCUGCCUUUUUGACCAGUUUCAAUUAUGUUUGGGUGAAAAUGCCAGACCGUAUUUCUCUAAUAGUAGCAUGAGUUCUCACACCUGAUGCAGUUUUGAGAUUACUGGGUUCUUAUCUCUAAAAUCAGUGGGAGGGGGAAGGAAUGAACCAAGGAGAGAAGGGCCUCCGUGCAAAACUCCAGAGGGCAUCAGGCCUCCCAGAUUUUUCUGGGACUGUCAGCUACACGAGGAGUCAUGUGGUAAGUUGAACCCAAGGUUCUCAUAUGUGUCCUUUGAGCUAAAGUAAGAUCCCUCCCACGAAAUAGUGUCUUCUAUUAUAGUGGGGACGAUUUUAGUUGUGCACAGACAGAGGCUACGUCAGAAAGGAGUUAGAGAUCUCAUUUUAGAGAAGGUUAAUAUAGUAAAGACAUUUAAUUGCUUUCUGGCUGACUUUGAA
rnacentral:lncRNA from 1 species